UAACCUUUUUCGAGUCCCAUCUUCUGAUUUCUUCCCCCUAAUAAGGACUUUUCAGCAUUUUCAUUUAAAACUUCUUUCCCAUUUUUCUUCAAAAUCUAAUACCUCUCCCCUUUCCCCAAAUCACUCCCCAAAUCAUCAGAAUUGAGAGAUAAUGCAUGAAAUCUCGAUCCCAAAAAAUCCUCCCUGUUUCCAGUCUUUUCCAUGAAUGUUUUGCUCACGUGAGUUACGCUUGGACCUCCUCUCCACCAGCAUCCAAGGACCAUAUUCAUCGCUUCCGACCACCGAAUCAACAACUAUUCGUGAGGUUCCAAUCGCCGGAGCAUUUCCUCCCAAAUUAUUCCCUGUUGCUUGUAUAUGCGGACAGCCAUCCUUGGAGUGACCAUACCGUCAACACGAGAAGCAGAAAACCGCAGGAAUGCCAUUGACUAUCGACUUCUUAACAUCACCUUCUAGAAAGGAGAAAACCUCAUUGGCUGCGUUCGAAUCACUCUCCCCAUUAGAAACAGUGGAGCCUUUGCCCAGAACCAUAUCUUUCCAGGACAGGGGUGGUACUGGUGUUGAGUCGACAGCAA